CUGCUGCAGCAUCGCUGAUGUGCGACGGAGUCCGUUGCUGCAGCAGAUAGUUUUAGACGUCCAUCGCACCGUACGAUUUUGUAAAUCAUACGGCCCGAACACGGGAGAGAACGCUGAGCGUUACAAC
rfam:Corynebacterium sp. HMSC04H06 Corynebacterium_spHMPREF3067-1.0_Cont35.1, whole genome shotgun sequence.